rnacentral:misc_RNA from 1 species
GAUGGAGAACGCAGCGAAAUGCGAUAAGUAAUGUGAAUUGCAGAAUUCAGUGAAUCAUCGAAUCUUUGAACGCACCUUGCACUCCUUGGUAUUCCGAGGAGUACGCCUGUUCGAGUGUUAUGAAGCUCUCAAAACGCAAUUGGCUUAAAACCUGAUUGUUGUUUUGGAUUUGAACUUUGCCGUGUUAUAACGGCUGGUUUUAAAAGUAUUAGCUGGUACUAGAACGAAUUGGUUCUACUCAACGUGAUAAUUAUCUGAUCGUUGAGGACAUUCCUUUCACGAGGAAUGGCCAUAGUAAAUUCAAUGGACUGCUUCUAAUCUGGCUUUAAUUCUUUAUUGGAUUAACCACUUUUCAAAUCUGACCUCGAAUCAGGUGGGACUACCCGCUGAACUUAAGCAUAUCAAUAAGCGGAGGA